UACGUAGGGGGCAAGCGUUGUCCGGAUUUAUUGGGCGUAAAGAGCGUGUAGGCGGCCUUACAGGUCAGCUGUGAAAACUCGAGGCUCAACCUCGAGACGUCGGUUGAAACCGUAUGGCUAGAGUCCGGAAGAGGCGAGUGGAAUUCCUGGUGUAGCGGUGGAAUGCGCAGAUAUCAGGAGGAACACCAAUAGCGAAGGCAGCUCGCUGGGACGGUACUGACGCUAAGGCGCGAAAGCGUGGGGAGCGAACAGG
rnacentral:rRNA from 1 species